rnacentral:lncRNA from 1 species
GCUGAGGGGGUGCCUGUCUCCUGUGUUGGAAGCGCAGCCCUCACGAUGGCAAAGAUGAUGUGGAACGGCAGCUUUGCUUACUUGUCUACAGUGUGUGAAUAAUCGUCCAUUCUUCUCUAAUGCAUUUUGGGACUCGAACACGUGAUCGUUAGCAGUAUUUAUUAUGAAGGGUUUUCACAGUCAUUCAGUGUUCUGUCCGUGCACACAGUCUAUUUGGAUCACAGCUCCAAUAAAACAUAAAGCAGCAACAAGCCCAAACUGAAGAGAGCUUCAAGGCAGUGCCGUGCACAGAAAUGUUAGUCAGCGAGCCGGGACACCUGGAGAGGAAGCCAGGUCCCAGAUGAGUGACGUGGGUCACUUCUAUCUGGACCGCAGCGUGUUCUGUGACAUGGACUGAGUCUGGAUGCUGGACACUCCGGUCUUCCCAUCUGUCAUUCCCUCCUGCACAGAUGGCUUCCCUGCCAACCCGGCCUGAUGCGUGGACACCUCCCACCUGUCUCCUCAGGCAGGUGUACUUGAUGGUUUGUUCUGUCUCCAGUGGCUUCCCCUCUCCUCACCCCCACCCCACCCCUCCUCAGCCCCGGCCAGUGCACACCUCCCCAGCUUCCCUCUCGGAACUCGGAAGUCACACCCGCCCUUACCUGUGUGGUGACCAGAGUCCUGUGUGCCAUGGAGCCCCAGACAGAGGGUGUGAGAUGUGCUGAACUUACUUGGGAUGAAUUGUGUUGAAAACCGGAGUGUUUAUGGUGUGGCCUGAGGAAACACGUUAAAAAUGGCAACAGCAAGAGAAUGAGAGUUUUCACAAAGGCAGCAGCUAGUCACCCCAAGAGGCUCAUAGGAAACCAGAUGAUUCCCCUUGCAUUGCUGAAAGAAUGUUCUUUUUAUCUAGUAAAUAAUGUGGGUCCCUGUAGGUUGAGGCUGUAGUUACAUAUAAGAUCAGUGUCUAACUAGCUCAAUGCAGUGAUGCUGUCCGGAAACUUGAGAGUUGUGGGAAGAAGCGUAGAGGGCUCAAGCACUCGGUCUUGCUUUCCGGAUACAGAGCCGACCGUCAGGACACAAGGAGAUACGGGGACCUGAUUAAGAUCUCCCAGGCAGAGGGAGCCAGUGGUAGAGAUGGAAUGAGAGCCUGGUCUUUGGCCGCUCGCCGAUUUGAACUGUAAUCACCAAGUAUUGAUGUGACUUUAUUAUGAGGAAUAUGAUAUGUCCAAACGAAUAUAUAUGAUAUGUAGAUCUACUUUCAAAUAUAUGAAAUAACAUGUGUGUGUGUGUCUACAUACAUACACACAGAGGUAUGCAGGGAUCACAUUUCUCACCGAUGAUAAGGAUUUUCCGGACUGCUGAAUCACCUGCCGCCGCAGCUUUAGUGCUGAACCCAGGGUCUAGGCGACCUCAGAAGAGUCCCUCCACACUUGGUAGGUGACUGACCUGCUUGCUACUCUAUUCAAGGGCUCCGUGAAGCCGUUAGCCAACCUCCGCCCUGAACCUCAGUUUGGAGACAGCGGACUCUGACAUAAAUAACUUAUUUUUGUGUCCUUAAUGUCCACACGUGCCUGGUGGCCACACUCUUCACACCUCGUGGAAAUCUUCACUUAGUAAAACAUAUUACCUUUAUAUGCACAGUCCUGCGAUGCUCAUCUGUCCCCACGGACUAGGCCAGCAAUGGGUCUUCAUGUGACCAUGUUCGAUCGAUACUGUGAACUUCUGCUUUGACGGAUUCUCAGAGCAUCAGCCGUAUCCACGUUCGGACAUGCUCCUUCGUGACGGAAGAGCCAUCCGGGAUUGCUCACCAGCUAAUAGGCCUCACAUAUUCCACUUUUCCUUGAUAACUCGUGAAGAGAGACGGGUCCCCAAAUGUGCUACAGGGACUUAUCUAUUUUGUUUCAUCCUGGUGUGCCUGGGUGGCUCAGUUGAUUAAACAUCUGACUCUUGCUUUUGGCUCAGGUCAUGAUCUCAAGGUUCGUGAGUUCAAGUCCCCCGUUGGGUUCUGUGAUGACAGUGUGAAGCCUGCUUGGGAUUUUCUCCUUCCCUCCCUUCCUCUCUCUCUCUCUCUGCCCUUCCCCCUUCUUUCUCUCUUUCAAAAAAAUAAACUUAGAAAAAUAAAAAGAAAAAUAUCACCC